rnacentral:lncRNA from 1 species
UUUUACCUUCUUGAAUCCUUUCCCAGAAAUAAGCUUAUUUUCGUAGUUAGACUUGAUUGUUCACCUCAUGCUUUUACUACCCCUUUUAUGACAAUAAUCAAUCUGUCCUCAAACUUAUCUUCUUUCCUUAAUUAAAACUUGCUACUACCCGUUAAACAAUGAUUCCUUAAUUGAAGGGAAUCACUUGUGUUAAUUGAUUCUAAUUUGUGAUUGUUUCCAUGUUUGUGUUAAGACUUUUACUUAUUACCUUACUUACCACUUGUUUUCAAUAACUAUAAAUAGCCACCCCUAUUUUCUUUAACAAAAACGAACUAUCUGAGUUCAAAACACAAACUUUACUCAAAACUCUCUCGUUUCUCUGUUACUAUUUGUACUACU